GACGAACGCUGGCGGCGUGCUUAACACAUGCAAGUCGAACGGAAAGGCCCUGCUUUUGUGGGGUGCUCGAGUGGCGAACGGGUGAGUAACACGUGAGUAACCUGCCCUUGACUUUGGGAUAACUUCAGGAAACUGGGGCUAAUACCGGAUAGGAGCUCCUGCUGCAUGGUGGGGGUUGGAAAGUUUCGGCGGUCGGGGAUGGACUCGCGGCUUAUCAGCCUGUUGGUGGGGUAGUGGCUUACCAAGGCUUUGACGGGUAGCCGGCCUGAGAGGGUGACCGGCCACAUUGGGACUGAGAUACGGCCCAGACUCCUACGGGAGGCAGCAGUGGGGAAUAUUGCACAAUGGGCGGAAGCCUGAUGCAGCAACGCCGCGUGCGGGAUGACGGCCUUCGGGUUGUAAACCGCUUUCGCCUGUGACGAAGCGUGAGUGACGGUAAUGGGUAAAGAAGCACCGGCUAACUACGUG
rnacentral:rRNA from 1 species